rnacentral:rRNA from 1 species
UGGGGAAUAUUGGACAAUGGGCGCAAGCCUGAUCCAGCAAUGCCGCGUGGGUGAAGAAGGUCUUCGGAUCGUAAAGCCCUUUCGACAGGGACGAUGAUGACGGUACCUGUAGAAGAAGCCCCGGCUAACUUCGUGCCAGCAGCCGCGGUAAUACGAAGGGGGCUAGCGUUGCUCGGAAUUACUGGGCGUAAAGGGCGCGUAGGCGGCCCGGUUAGUGAGGCGUGAAAUUCCCGGGCUUAACCUGGGGACUGCGCUUCAUACUGCUGGGCUUGAGGAUGGAAGAGGGUCGUGGAAUUCCCAGUGUAGAGGUGAAAUUCGUAGAUAUUGGGAAGAACACCGGUGGCGAAGGCGGCGACCUGGUCCAUUACUGACGCUGAGGCGCGACAGCGUGGGGAGCAAACAG